rnacentral:rRNA from 1 species
AGGACGACGCUGGCGGCGUGCCUAAUACAUGCAAGUCGAACGGUCUUUUCUAUGGAAGCUUGCUUCCACUGAGAAGAUAGUGGCGAACGGGUGAGUAACACGUGGGUAACCUGCCCAUAAGAGGGGGAUAACAUCCGGAAACGGGUGCUAAUACCGCAUAGUUUUCUUGAUCGCAUGAUCGGGAAAGGAAAGACGGCCUUUGUGCUGUCGCUUAUGGAUGGACCCGCGGCGUAUUAGUUAGUUGGUGAGGUAACGGCUCACCAAGACGAUGAUACGUAGCCGACCUGAGAGGGUGAUCGGCCACAUUGGGACUGAGACACGGCCCAAACUCCUACGGGAGGCAGCAGUAGGGAAUCUUCCGCAAUGGACGAAAGUCUGACGGAGCAACGCCGCGUGAGUGAAAGAAGGUUUUCGGAUCGUAAAACUCUGUUGUCAGAGAAGAACAAGUUGGAGAGUAACUGCUCCAGCCUUGACGGUAUCUGACCAGAAAGCCACGGCUAACUACGUGCCAGCCGCCGC